GUAAAACUUGCCUCGCACUCUUCUCUCCUCUUCCAUUUCCAGGUCAUGAUCAGAACUAUGGAAAAUAUUCUGUCCAGGGAAUGACGCCUUAAAGAGAAAGAACAGGGUUACGAUCUUCAACAAUAUUGCGUUGUUUAGGUAUUGACCAACACCUCGCAACCAGACCUACUUGAAGCUGACCUGAUCCGCUCCGUAUUGCAUGCGGUGGCUAAACAAUCGACGGAACAAAUCCGUCGUAACCAGUUGUUGGCCCCCAACUUCUUUUCUUCUCUCGUCUACUGUGAUCCCACCAUUCCUCACAUUGAGCAGUUGGAAGAAUUGCGUUCCAUCAUUCCAUCGCCUCCGCUGGACAUUUCGACCGAGAAGGAAUGUUUCGAUUUGUGGAUGAAGGUGAUGCGACUCGACACUUACCGCAAAGCCGUCAUCACCGGACUUGUUUCAGCAUCGGCAGUCUCACGGAGAGUUUGGUUAAAAGUUCCAGCGCUUCAUCAAAGCUCACCUUUGCACGCUUCUAAAUAUUGUAAAUGUGAGUUUGAUUGAAUGCGCCGUUUUUUUUCUUUCUUUACACCUUUACUACAAAACCAGAUUUUACACAAAAAAAAAGCCCUUCGGGAACCUCUCCAAGGAGCAAAGCGCAUUGGUAGAAAUUUUAGUAAGUCUCGAUUAGCUAGAGAAGGGAUCCUUUUCAUUUUACUGUUUUAAAUUUUAAACAUUUCUUGUUUACAACGCUAGAUGGCUUAGAUUGUUUUCAGCGUUAAAAAAACAUUAGUUUCAUUUCACUGUUUCAGUAACUUUCAUUAUACACAAUUAUUUUUUGUUUGAAAAACUGAAAAAAAAAAAAUCAUCGAAGAAUUCUUCGUCAACACAAAUUUUGAUGCUGAAAGACUUGGAAACCAUGCUGUCCACCACGACCAUGUCCAGAAGCAGAGUAACAUUCUGCAUGUACAAUGUUCUGAAUGGCACCUCUUAAUGCAAGGAACUUCAGCCAUCCAAUCCAGGACUUGCAUCCAAUCGUGCAGGCUGCAUGGAAGUCUCAUUUACCUUUGCUGUGAACAUCAUGAACACAUACACUAUUCGAAGGUUCGUGUUUACAUAGCAGUGGUGUUGCUGUCCAAUGUGGCGUGCUGUUGCAGUCUAUGGUGGUGAAAGAUAUCUGCAUCAAGUUGCUGUUCCUUGUGCGUCCAAGGUGCUGGUUUUGUGUUCCAAAAGUGACAUCCAAUAUUGUGUUUAAUUGCUAUUCGUGUCUAUGCAGUUUACCUUUUACAUGUUGAUAAGAAACAAAAAAAGUAAUACGGGGAGGAUUAUGUCAAACAAAUAAUAAACAUGUCCGGGAUGGGGAAAUGAGGAGGAAGUUGGGGUGGGGUAUUUGGUUAUGAUUUACUAAAAGAAGUGAGGUAUAUUUAUAAUGAAUGUGCUGUACUUUGUGAUAAAAACUGUUGUUAACCUAUACCUUCCUGUCAACCUAAACCUCCCCUACUUCCACUUACACAUCUAUUCAUAAAACCACAUAAGCACCAACAUCAAAUCCCACAUAUCCACUCACAUCCAUUCCUAAAACCCCACAAUCCCCAACAACAAAUUCUCACAAUAAUUGUAUAUCUAUUAUCAUAUUAAUAGUAAAUAAAUAAAAUGUACUGUAUAAAAAAUGUGUAGA